UAAAAUUACCCUAGUUAAAAGACUCCAACCAUUAGGGCAUAAACACAAUUUCCUCUCCUCUCUAUCAGACUCCCACUUUCACUCUUCUUCAACAAAUACAUGAAGCUGAAAUUCGAAGUCGUGCAUUGAUUUAGGGAUUGUAUGUCCUUGAUAAGGCCAAAUGGUUCAUCUUAUUUUCACAAGAAUUCUCAAUUUAGAAGAAGCAAUUUUGUUAUAGUGAAGGCUUCGGAUUCAUUCAAGAACUACCAGAAAAACAAGUUGAGAAGGCUUUCUACUGGGAUUCUUCAAUUGAUAGUGCGGUGUGGAUCCAAUGGGAGCGUAGGACAGCAAAAAGAUACAGUAACUUUGUUAGCAAACUAAAAUCAAAUAGGGUGCAACCAGACACUAUUCCAAAUACUGUGUGGGAAAGUUGGUUGAGACUUUGGAAAGAUCCUAAGUGUGUUGAAAAUUCAGAAAUAAAUACAAAAAAUUAUUGUGGUGGGAGCGGAGUUGCCACUGGGACUCACACAGGUGGCUCUGUCAGUGUUGGGGAGCAUCGCAAGAGACUUUUCCAGUGCAAGUAGGCUUCUAAAUAUGCUACUACAGGCCAAAUCUUCAUGGCUUUUUUGGAUCUGAUGCUAUAUCGUCAGCAACACCUCCAAAUUCUCAAUCAACACUAACAGGGAAUCUGGAUGAGUUAUUGAUGUGAUUGAUUCCUGCACUGACAGAUCAUAUAGUUUCUGUAAUCGUUGAGCGGGUACGCGAAUUAGUUUUCUUACUCUCGCAACAGCCAAAUACUAAUCUUACCAACCACCCAUUAGAUGUGGCACCUACAGUUCCUACAUCUUCUACUGCUGCUAACAUUGAUGAGGUUCAUGCAUUGGGCUCUGAUGAUGACCAUAACUCUCCAGCUUCGCAUGUUUAGCCUACUUUAUUAGGACUUUAUUGUUGGUCCUUGUGAAUUUUUUGUAAUUAAUGAUACUGUUAUAUGCAUUAUGCUAUAUAUUUUGGACCUUGUUGAAUAUAUCGUUAAUUUAUACUUA